GACAGUAGAGCUCAAUGGUAGAGUGCCUGCCUAGCAUGCACAAGGUCCUGGGUUCAAUCCCCAGUACCUCCA
rnacentral:tRNA from 1 species